AGCUUUGCACAGUGGCAGUAUCGUAACCAAUGAGGUUUAUCUGAUGUGUGGUUAUUGCUAGUUAAUGAACAUUAAUUUCUGGUUAUCAGAGAUAUAUACAUUUAUACUUUCUUGGUGUCUUAAGUCA
rfam:Ictidomys tridecemlineatus contig033103, whole genome shotgun sequence.